CUCGAAAAAAAUUUGCUCCCUCAUAUGGAUAUUUUAGUAGAACAUGAUAAAUCUUCUUCUACUACAAAAAAAAUACAUAAUUCAUUUCAUUCACAUAUACAGGACGCAACAGAGAUACAUCAUCAUCGAUGCAAAAAAAGAGAAAAAGAUACAUCUUAACCACAUGUCCACAUUCUAAGAUGGCUUGUAUACAUCCUAUUUUUUCGAAAAGGGGGGGCUCCCCGGCCUCUGCAUCAGAGUGAUGCAUACGGCCAUCUUAUUAACCAAAUAACAAAAUGUGCCAACAAGGUUCCAAAGUCUCCAACUGAAACAAAGAAAAGGCAGCUCACACAGAGCCUAAAAGGCUAGAUACAAAAACUAGCCAGGAAAAGACGCCACAACCGGCUGGCUAAAAAUAGAUAGGUAAACUAAUUGUCUAUCCUAUUACAUGACCGCCAUCCAAACCGGCUGAAGAUAUCCCGAGCUACCAUCUCCCUACGGAUAGAUCUAGUAACCAAAUGCUCCCUGGCCUCCAUCGGAGUGAGUAGCGACCACGAACGGAUCACUGCCGUAGCUCGGAAAAUAGCCUGCAAAAAAUGAAUCCGUGAUUUUCUGUUAAAAACCAAAUCAUUUCUGCAAUUCCAGAUAGUCCACAGCAAAGCGCAAACUCCAACCCAAAUAUGUCUUGCUAAGUCAGGCUCAAUCCCAUUAAGCCAAGUCCCAAAUAAUGCGUUGACAGAAGUCGGUGGAGUAAUAUUAAAAGCAAUGUGGACCGUUCGCCAAAGGACUUUGGCCAACGGGCAAUCAAAAAAGAGGUGCUUAAUCGUCUCAUCCCGAUCACAGAAACUACACCUAGUAGGUCCUGUCCAAUUACGCUUUAUCAAGUUGUCCUUUGUUAAAAUAACUUGUUUAUGGACAAACCACAUAAACACUUUUAUUUUCAAAGAAACUUUGACAUCCCAGACAUUCUUGGAAGUUGGAAUGGAGUUCGAAUUAAUAACAUCAAUAUACAUUGAUUUAACUGUAAAUACUCCAGACCUAGUCAACUUCCAGCGUAAUUCAUCGGGUUGGUCAGAAAGUUGAACCUCCAUCAGUCUCCUAACUAGAUGGAGCCAUUCUUCCCAACGAUUGCCCGCUAGCGAUCGUCUAAACUUAAUAUUAAGGGGGGUAGAUUGAAAUACCGUUGCAACGAACACCUCACGUCGUUGAGCAAUACGAUAUAAAGACGGAUAUUGAAUGGCCAAGGGUGAGUUGCCAAGCCAAGUAUCCUCACAGAAACGUGUACUAGCACCGUUUCCAAUAACAAACCUCGUCCUAUUGAACAUUGAUUGUUUGAAUUUCAUUAGUCCUUUCUAGAAAGGUGAGUCAGUCGGCCUGACUGUGAUCUGGGACAAUGUUUUAGUCUGGAGGUACUUGCUACGAAGGAUCUGCGCCCACAUGGCCUCAGUCCUGGAAGAGAGCUUCCACAACCACUUACUAAGAGGGCAUCUGUUCUUAACUUCAAGAUUCUCAAUACCAAGACGCCCUUGGUCUUUCAGUCGACAGAUGAUAUCCCAUUUAGCAAGCCGGUAUUUUCUUUUAAGUUCAUCACCCUGUCAAAAGAAACGCGAUCGAUAGAAGUCCAGUCUUUUCCUAACACCAAUUGGGACCUCAAAGAACGAUAAGAGGAACAUAGGCAUACUCGUGAGCACCAAAUUUAUCAAGAUUAACCGGCCUCCGUAUGACAUGAGCUUACCCAUCCAGCAACUCAAUUUCUUCUCAAAUCGGUCCUCGAUGCACUUCCAUUCUAUGUUUGUCAGCCUACGAUGGUGUAUCGGAAUACCAAGGUAGGAGAAGAGUAAAUUCCCCAACUCGCACCCAAACAAUUGCCUAUAAGACUCCUGUUCGUCUUUGGCUCUACCAAAACAGAACAACUCGCUCUUAUGAAAGUUAAUCUUUAACCCGGUCAAUUGUUCAAAGAGGCAUAACAUCAGCUUCAUAUUUCUCGCCUUGGCCAAGUCAUGCUCCAUAAAGAUGAUUGUAUCAUCAGCGUAUUGAAGGAUGGAUACACCUCCAUCAACAAGAUGAGGUACCAAGCCACCCACUUGACCAUUCUCCUUAGCCCUUCCUAUCAAAAUUGCUAACAUAUCCACCACAAUGUUAAACAGGAUAGAGGACAUCGGAUCUCCUUAUCUGAGGCCUUUAUGUGUCUGGAAGUAAUGACCUAUAUCGUCAUUCACUUUAAUUCCCACACUCCCUUUUUGCGUAAAUGAUUCGACCUGUCGGCGCCAGGCGUCAUCAAAACCUUUCAUACGCAAUGCCUGUUGGAGGAAUGGCCACUUGACCUUAUCGUACGCUUUUUCAAAAUCCACCUUAAAAAUUACUCCAUAUAAUUUUUUGGAGUGGAUUUCAUGGAGCGUUUCAUGAAGGACAACCACCCCUUCAAGGAUGUUUCUGUCCGGCAUGAAAGCAGUUUGGGAUUGUUGCAUCACAGAAUGCGCAAUCUGUGUGAGCCUAUUAGUCCCGACCUUGGUGAAAAUUUUGAAACUAACAUUGAGGAGGCAGAUCGGCCUGAACUGCUCAAUUCUCACAGCAUCCAUCUUUUUAGGGAGCAAUGUGAUAGUUCCAAAAUUCAAGUGAAAUAAUUGAAGUUGUCCAGAGAAUAGAUCAUGAAACAUAGGUAGCAAAUCCCCCUUAAUAAUGUUCCAGCACUUUUUAUAGAACUCGACUGGGAACCCAUCCGGUCCGGGAGCCUUAUUGUUUUUCAUUUGUGCAAUAGCAUCAAACACCUCCUUCUCUGAGAACGGGGCAACCAGGAUAUCAUUAUCGGCAGCAGACAAUUGAGGCACAUCCUCAGUCCUGGACUCAUCGAGGGACACACAAUUAUCCUCCGGAGGUCCAAAUAACUGCCUAUAAUACUCGGUAAUAUAUGUUUUGAGAUUAUCCUGUCCUAAAAUAGUGCCCUCAUCUUGUUCAAGUUGAAAGAUCCGCUUCUUUCUGUGCUUACCAUUGGCAAUCAGGUGAAAGUAUUGAGUAUUCGCGUCCCCUUGGACCACUUUGCGGACCUUAGCUCGCAAAGCCCACUUCAACUCUUCUUCGCGGAGAAGUUCUUUCAACCUCUUCUCCGCCUCAGUUUUAACCUGGAGCUCAGCAGGCAGCAAAAUCGUGGAUUUAAACAUCCUAUGGCAGCCGUGCAUGUUGUUCAACUUUACAUUUGCGCUUAAUGUAAAAGAAAAUACCAGGUGUACAUUUCCACUUGCUUGGAGCCUUGGAGUAAAAUAGACAGAUUAAUCUAAUUUACAACGCUGUGUGUGUAUACUCUCUCUCCCCUCUCUUUCUACAU
rnacentral:lncRNA from 1 species